AGAGUUUGAUCCUGGCUCAGGACGAACGCUGGCGGCGUGCUUAACACAUGCAAGUCGAGCGAGAAAGCGCCUUCGGGCGUGAGUACAGCGGCGAACGGGUGAGUAACACGUGGGCAACCUGCCCCGGAGACUGGGAUAACGUUCCGAAAGGGACGCUAAUACCGGAUGAUGCGCGACCUGCCAAGUAGGUCGCGCCAAAUGGUAGCUUCGGCUUCUGCUCUGGGAUGGGCCCGCGCCGGAUUAGCUUGUUGGUGGGGUAAUGGCUCACCAAGGCGACGAUCCGUAGCUGGUCUGAGAGGACGAUCAGCCACACUGGGACUGAGACACGGCCCAGACUCCUACGGGAGGCAGCAGUCGAGAAUCUUCGGCAAUGGGCGCAAGCCUGACCGAGCGACGCCGCGUGGAGGACGAAGGCCUUCGGGUUGUAAACUCCUGUCGAGGGGGAAGAAGGGGCGGCAACGCCCUUGACUGAUCCCUGGAGGAAGCACGGGCUAAGUUCGUGCCAGCAGCCGCGGUAAGACGAACCGUGCGAACGUUAUUCGGAAUCACUGGGCUUAAAGCGCGUGUAGGCGGGACGGCACGUCGGUCGCUGAAAUCCCCCGGCUUAACCGGGGAACGGGCGCCGAUACGACCGCCCUGGAGGGACGUAGGGGGGGCUGGAACUUCCGGUGGAGCGGUGAAAUGCGUUGAGAUCGGAAGGAACGCCCGUGGCGAAAGCGAGCCCCUGGACGUCUACUGACGCUGAGACGCGAAAGCCAGGGGAGCGAACGGGAUUAGAUACCCCGGUAGUCCUGGCCGUAAACGAUGGGCACUGGGUAGGGGGCUCGCCGAUGGGCUCCCUGCCGUAGGGAAACCGUGAAGUGCCCCGCCUGGGGAGUAUGGUCGCAAGGCUGAAACUUAAAGGAAUUGACGG
rnacentral:rRNA from 1 species